AUAAAUAGAAAGAAGACGAUAAAGAAAAAGCAAAAAAAGAAGAACAGAAAUAACUUACGCUGCGUCUGCGUGCGCGCUAAUGUGUGCAUAUUUAUGAAAGUUUUGUUCUUCUGCAGCUUUCCUCGCUAACUCCGCUGCUAUUUUUUCUUCGCCUAA
rnacentral:ribozyme from 13 species